AGGCGUAUAGCUCAGUUGGUAGAGCGGCGGUCUCCAAAACCGCAGGUCGAGGGUUCGAGGCCUUCUGCGCCUG
rnacentral:tRNA from 1 species